CUCGUUCUCACCUCACUCUCUCAGAAAAAAAAACUCCCUCUCCGAAGAAAAACUUUUCCGCCAUCGAAACACUCUUCCGCCGUUGAAGCAAGUUAGUUCGUCGAGAUGGAGGGCCAUCAUCUGCAAGUUAUACAACAGCUUCAAUUAGAGGUGGCUGAGGCAAGAGAGAGGAGUGGGGUCUAUGCUGAUGACUUGGUUCGUGCAGCUUCAAAAACUAAGGAGGCAUUACCACAUUCACAAAACAAAGGGAACCAGAGCAGUGUAAAUGGGGGUUCCCCUCUAAGUGGUAAUACUACCCCAACGAAAAUGUUGAGGAAUUUCAGGCUGUUGUUUAACUGGCAAUGGAUCACCCAAGCCAGAUCAAGUUCCUGGAGUUCAUAUUGUUCCUUCGUCCCUGUUUGCAAUUGGUGCCUGCGGUCUACCUGGACAGGUUGAGGUGCUGCAUCCCUUGGUUAUGCAGCAUCAAGGUGCUCCACCCUUUUUAACAUCAGCCAACACGCACAUUCCUCAAUCUCAUGUUGGCCAACUUCAGUCAGUGCCUGCAAUUUCAUUCCACCCACAGUGGCAGAACCAGCAGGCGGUGAAGAAGGAAAACAACUAGGUUGGUUUUGAACAGCUGCUCAGGAUACUCGUAGAAGAGUCUCAGCCCAGGGUGUUGAUGUAGGAAGCAUGUUUAGGCAGUAAUCCAGUAGAUAACGAUUCAACUGUUACUAAAGAUCCUAUGGAAAGUAUUUACCAUAGCAUUGUAGUGCUGAAUACACAAGGAUUCCGAAAUUCAUUAAUGGUCGCUGAAAGUUUGACAGUUGCAUGUGAUAUUAGAAACUGAUGAAGUUUCCUAUUCUUGAGGUGGUAAAGAUAUCAUUAGAAAAGUGAUUCUAGCAAGGUACCAUGAGAUAUAGUUUGGCAGACAUUUUAUCGAAUGAGGUCUAGCAAGAAUAUCGUCAAUGUUGUUUGUGUUUGAGUUUUUACAUCUCACUGGAGAUAAUGUUUGUUAAAUGAUGUUGGGGAGGACAAGUUCUGAGAUGAUGCUAAGCAGGUUGCAAUUAUGAGAAGGCUGCGGCAUCCAAAUAUCGUCCUGUGCGUAAAUCUGGUAUAAGUUAGUAAGUAUCAUGUUUGAAAUACUUUGAUUCCUUCGGAUUCUGCUACUGUAAGUCGCUUCCUAAAUUCCCAAAUGCUUCAGUUUCUUUUCUUCUCCGUGCUUCACCUAGAAACCUUCUGUUAGGUUGAUUUUGUGGUUCUAUUACACUUAUACUUGGAAAAUCAGGACCUAGAGCUGGGUUUUCUGGUAAAAUUAAAUAAUUUAUGAAACUUAUUUCAGCUUCAAUUCAUAAUUAUGAGUAUGGUGUGUGAACUCUAAUUUUCUUUUACUUAAAGGUUAUUUGUUUCUUUUCCUUAAAGGUUAAUCAAAAUAUCCAUCUUCUACUCUUAAUUAGAUAUGUCACAAUUAUGAUUUGGUGCAUCAACUCUAUUAAAAGGCCAUUUUUGUACUAGGAGUGGGAGAACAAAGUCGAUUGGAUGAAGAAGAGCCUUAGGAGUGGGUUGCGCAGGUCGAGCUUGGUCUUCUACCUUUGUUUCUAUGCCUGAUGGAGCCAUCUCAAGCGAAUACACUUGUUUGGUUAUGCUUGAAUUUGUGUGGUUCAUGUAUAUGUAUAUGUUUGUAGUUGUGCAGGAGUAUAAGGUCAACUGAAGCUAGUAGCCACCCGGGGUAUAUCAAUCCCUGGUAAGUUCAUUUGGUUAUGCUUGGAGCCCAUUUUUGCUGAAAUUUGUUGAUAUUAACCUUUGGAUUUCACUUUCUUGCGAUGUAUUACAUUUAAUGAUCUUUUUGCUACCGGGUUAUGCCGUUGACGACCUUUCUAUGGUAAGCAACAUACCUUUCGCUCUUUUACGGAUAUCUGAAAAUGGUGCCGACCCAACAUCCCUUUUGCUCUUGUAUUGAUUUGAGCUGUUUUAUUCAGUCUAAAGGUCCAAUCAAUCACUUUCGCUCUUGUAUUGAUUUGAGCUGUUUUUUCAGUCUAAAGGUCCAAUCAAUCAAAGUGGUUAUGAAGCUGCAGUUAGGAAUGGUGAAAUGAAGCUGUGUGCUUGCUGUUGGUAAGGUGGUAAUGUGAAUCUUAGCUAAAUUUGCAAGCAGAGAUGCAGUGUAUGUGUCUUAUUGAGUUGCUGACACUGUGCAGUGGUUGCUUUCGAAACUGAGAAGAUGAUUUGCAGGUUGGCAUUGCAGGUUCAGUUGGAUAAAAAGAACCUAGUGGUGAUAUGAAGUUGCAGCUGCAGGUGGACUGGUUGGCCUGGUAUGCAGUAGCAAGUUGCAGGGACUGAGCUGUUGAGUGGAACUGGAGUUGUGUUUGAAAUACAGUUAGGAUUGAAAGUCAUGAGCAGAUAGUGUUUGAGACUGUGCUGAGAAGAUGAUUACAUGUGGUGAACAGAAUGAAUGGAAACUUGGUCAAGUGGAGCUAGUUAAGGUGUGCGAGAACCAUCCUCAGGGAGUUAGAUUUAAAGAUACCAAGGAUGCUCACAAGUGUAUAGAGCUAAUGAAUGUAAGAUGGUAAGUACUGCAACACUUUCGUGUCCAAUUUUUUUUUUAUCAUCAUAGUUGUUAGAGUUCGACACUAAACUAAGUUAGUCUAAUUGAAAUCAAGAGUAACUCAUACGAAGACCAUGUGUAGAUGAACAUAUAGUUGUUUUUUUCUCUUCUUUUGUAAUUUUCUUAAAUGUUGUUCGUAUGUAUGAUUGAACAUAUCAAUGUCAAUAUAAGCAAUAGUGCA